UCUCCGUAGGUGAACCUGCGGAGGGAUCAUUACAGAGUUCAUGCCCUAACGGGUAGAUCUCCCACCCUAUGUUAUCAUCACUUUGUUGCUUUGGCGGGCCGUCAGGCCUCGGCUUGGCUACCGGCUCUCGCUGUAAGCGCCCGCCAGAGAACCCCAAACCCUGAAUAUCAGUGUCGUCUGAGUACUAUAUAAUAGUUAAAACUUUCAACAACGGAUCUCUUGGCUCUG
rnacentral:misc_RNA from 1 species